rnacentral:rRNA from 1 species
UACGUAGGGUGCAAGCGUUAAUCGGAAUUACUGGGCGUAAAGCGUGCGCAGGCGGUUUUGUAAGUCUGUCGUGAAAGCCCCGGGCUCAACCUGGGAAUUGCGAUGGAGACUGCAAGGCUUGAAUCUGGCAGAGGGGGGUAGAAUUCCACGUGUAGCAGUGAAAUGCGUAGAUAUUGGGAGGAACACCAGUGGCGAAGGCGGUUGCCUGGGGCUUUGCUGACGCUGAUGCGCGAAAGCGUGGGGAGCGAGUCCGGA